rnacentral:rRNA from 1 species
GACGAACGCUGGCGGCAUGCCUAAUACAUGCAAGUCGAACGGAUCUUGUUUGAGAGCUUGCUCUCAAGCUUGGUUAGUGGCGGACGGGUGAGUAACACGUAGGCAACCUGCCCAUAAGAUCGGGAUAACAUUCGGAAACGGAUGCUAAGACCGGAUAAACAAUUUGGCCGCAUGGUUGAAUUGGGAAACACGGAGUAAUCUGUGGCUUGUGGAUGGGCCUGCGGCGCAUUAGCUAGUUGGUGGGGUAAUGGCUCACCAAGGCGACGAUGCGUAGCCGACCUGAGAGGGUGAACGGCCACACUGGGACUGAGACACGGCCCAGACUCCUACGGGAGGCAGCAGUAGGGAAUCUUCCACAAUGGGCGCAAGCCUGAUGGAGCAAUGCCGCGUGAGUGAGGAAGGCUUUCGGGUCGUAAG